rnacentral:rRNA from 1 species
CGAAGGGAAACCGAGUCUUAACCGGGCGUUAAGUUGCAGGGUAUAGACCCGAAACCCGGUGAUCUAGCCAUGGGCAGGUUGAAGGUUGGGUAACACUAACUGGAGGACCGAACCGACUAAUGUUGAAAAAUUAGCGGAUGACUUGUGGCUGGGGGUGAAAGGCCAAUCAAACCGGGAGAUAGCUGGUUCUCCCCGAAAGCUAUUUAGGUAGCGCCUCGUGAAUUCAUCUCCGGGGGUAGAGCACUGUUUCGGCAAGGGGGUCAUCCCGACUUACCAACCCGAUGCAAACUGCGAAUACCGGAGAAUGUUAUCACGGGAGACACACGGCGGGUGCUAACGUCCGUCGUGAAGAGGGAAACAACCCAGACCGCCAGCUAAGGUCCCAAAGUCAUGGUUAAGUGGGAAACGAUGUGGGAAGGCCCAGACAGCCAGGAUGUUGGCUUAGAAGCAGCCAUCAUUUAAAGAAAGCGUAAUAGCUCACUGGUCGAGUCGGCCUGCGCGGAAGAUGUAACGGGGCUAAACCAUGCACCGAAGCUGCGGCAGCGACACUGUGUGUUGUUGGGUAGGGGAGCGU